GAAACUCGACCACAGAUUCAUGGCUUUUCCUUAUUCUAUUUAUUAGUUUAUUAUGGGUGUGUUCCUUGAUGUAGAAAGGCUUUGCUCUGCUGGUUAUUUUUGAACUGCAGGAUCAAGAGCUGCAUCUGCAAUGUUCACAUUCAAAACCCUAGAUAUAACUGCAGUCCAGUUGUCCAAUUACCACUCUAACUUUAUAGCUGCCUGAGACUCUCACACUCUCUCUGAAAGCCUAGGC
rnacentral:lncRNA from 1 species